UUGAAAUGGAUUUAUCACAAUUGGACUUGAUUUCACAACACGAAGAUGAUUGUUCAUUGACACAUAUUGAACUUGAUGAUGUUGUGCCCAUCGAAAUGGACCCUCAAAAUGAUGGAAAUGAAAUUGUUGCUAAUGACCAAUUGAAUGAUGGUGUGGAUAAUUGUCGGUCCAAGGCCAAGCUCAUAGAUGGAGAUAAAGUUGUUGAGGAGCCUAAGAGCGGUAUGCUAUUUGGCUUCAUAGAGGAAGUCGUUGACUAUUAUAGGAAUUAUGGAAAGCAAGCGGGCUUUGGUGUGACACAAAAGAAGAAGAAAAAGUAUGAAAAUGGAGAUGUACACUACAUCAGUCUGACAUGUGCUCGCGGAGGCAAAGCAUCAUCCAGUUCAAGUAAUAACCUGUGCAAGGCUAGCAAAACAAGCAAAACGGGGUGUCAGGCUACUUUGAAUGCAACGUUAGUGGAUACAUCGUGGUAUGUGACAAAUGUAAAUCUAGGGCAUAAUCACGACUUAAGCCCAGGUAAAGCGAGAUACUUUCGGUGCAACAAGAAGUUGGAUCCUGCUACGAAGAGAAAGCUUGAUAUAGAUGAUAGAGCUGGAAUCCGCACCAAUAAAAUUUAUAACGCACUAGCCGUUGAAGCGGGGGGUUAUGAGAAUCUUACAUUUGGAGAGAGAGAGUGUCGCAAUUAUAUUGCGAACUCAAGACGCCUUCGCCUUGGUACAGGAGGUGCCGCAGCACUUCGUGACUAUUUCAAUAGAAUGCGGAACGUAAAUGAUGAUUUUUAUUUUGAUAUAGAUGUGGAUGAUGAGUGUCGGCUGAGAAAUGUUUUUUGGGCUGAUGCACGAAGUAGGGCAUCAUAUGAAGAUUUUGGUGAUGUGGUUACAUUUGACACAACAUACUUAACCAACAAAUACGAAAUGCCAUUUGCUCCUUUUGUGGGAGUAAACCAUCAUGGUCAAUCAAUUCUUUUAGGGGCGGCAUUAAUUUCAAGUGAGGAUACGGAGUCAUUUGUUUGGUUGUUUGAGGCAUGGUUGAAAUGCAUGAAGGGCCGUGCGCCAAGGGCAAUUAUUACAGAUCAAGAUAGGGCCAUGAAAAAUGCUAUUAAGAAGGUGUUUCCGAAUGCUCGUCAUAGAUUUUGUUUAUGGCAUAUACUGAAAAAACUUCCGGAAAAGUUUGGAUCACAUUUACAAUACUAUGCCAUUAAGAGUGCCAUAAGAAAUUGUGUGUAUAAUUCUCAUACAUGUGACGAGUUUGAUUCAUGUUGGCAGAGUAUGCUUGAGUGUUAUAAUCUAGAGGAGAAUGCAUGGCUGCGUGGUUUAUACAGUGAAAGGACUUUUUGGGUACCAACAUAUUUGAAUGAUGUAUUUUGGGCCGGCAUGACUACCACACAACGUAGUGAGAGUAUGAAUGCCUUUUUUGAUGGUUAUGUGCAAUCGUCCACCUCAUUGAAGGAAUUUGUGGAUCAAUACGAUAACGCUUUGCGCAGGAAGGUUGAGGUUGAGAAUGUUGCUGAUUUCGAUUCCUUCAAUACCACCAUUUCAUGUGUGAGCCAUUGGCCCUUUGAGAAGCAAUUCCAAAAAAUUUACACCCAUGCAAAGUUUAGAGAAGUUCAGAAGGAGAUUUCGUCGAUUAUGUAUUGUGGUUCUUCUCUUUUAAAAAGUGAAUGUGGAAUUCGUACCUAUCAGGUGAUCGAACAGGUAGAAAUUAAUGAAUCCUAUAGGAAAAAAAUCGUUUUUAAUGUUUGCUACAAUGGCCCUGUAUGUGAAGUGAAUUGUAGUUGCCGUUUGUUUGAAUCAAGAGGAAUUUUGUGCAAACAUGCCAUAUCCGUGUUGACUACAUUUGAAGAUGUCGAUUUCUUGCCCGAAAAGUAUUUUCUAAAUCGAUGGAGGAAGGAUUUGAAGCGGCCAUAUAAGUUAAUCAAGAGUAGUUAUGAUCCUUUGAGUGGCAACCCUACUGCAGAUCGAUAUGCUGAACUGAGCAACAAUGUGCUGAAGUUGGCCGCUAUUGCAGCACCAAACGUGGACCAUUGCAUGGAAUUGCAAAAGUAUGUUGAUAUGCUAAUUAAGAAAUUUAGCGGUCCAAGCUGUGAACAAAGUCAACCUUCCCAAUCACUCCCAAGUGCAAAAGAUCUCCCAAGUGCACCUAUGAUCGAUAAUGGAGCCAUGGAUUGUAUGGAGGUGGAGGUGUGUAGUCCUCUUGUGGCUCGAACUAAAGGCGCGCGACCAUCAAUCAGAAAAGUGUCUGUGGUUGAAAAAGUGGUGAGAAAAAAGUCGUCAAAAGGAGGAAAUAAGAAACAGAGCAACGCAAAUCCCGAGCAGCGAGGGAAAAGAAAGAAGACAUGCCAAAGAUCGCUAGUAGAUGAACUGGACACAAGUGAAGAUCAGUUGCCUUUUUCAACUGAUGUGCAGCAUGACCAAGUGAUUGAAACACAACAUAGUGUACUUACACAGACGUUUGGGAAUUCACAAUCGUCAUGUAUUUUCGAAGGAGAUUCUAUAUACUUGUCGUAAGUGGGCUCGGCUUCAUAUCCUCAGACAACCAAUUUUCUUGAUCCUGCUUUUGUUUCGGGUGAUCCCAUCUAUAAUGUGCAAAGCCAGUGCUCAUCAAAUUCUACAUUUUCUGUUUCCUUUAAGCAGUCAUCCAUUGAGCUGCAAGAAGGACCAACCAAACAACAAGAGGAACGUGGUCGUGCUUUUGAAUGAAGAGAGGGGCUUUUAUCCAAUCGAUCAGAGCUGUUGAAGACUAGUUUUGUAUGAUAUAUGUGACCAAUCGAGUGUGCAAUAUGUAUAUAUAUGCUGGAGUACUAACCUUAAAUAAUGGAGACUUCCAGUAGUUUUGUGUAUCUUUCUUGUCUCCUUUUGUUAGAUUGUGAAACUGUUAUUGUAAUGGUGAGAUUUUGGCCGAUGAGAAAUA